CACGUGCCUUUAUUCACUGGAAGUCUUUCUGCACUUCAUUUGAUUGCGUUGUCUCCUUUAUUCUAACUCGGUCUCUGUUUCAGUUUGUGCCAGAAAACCCCCUGGCGUCUCUCAGGAAAACAGACCUUUAUUACCGCAACAUGAGGAUGAAAACUAUAGCCAUGUAUUUUAUGCUGUGAUGAAAACUCCACAAAAAUAAGGAUCUCACAGCUUCUUCGUUUGCAGUACGAGUGGGCUUUGAGAGGCGGAUUGGUUAGAGUUCCUCCCUCCACAACACACGCAGCCCAACGCACACACAUAGACUCACUCACAACAACAAACAAACACACAGUCGUACACACAAACACACAUGAAUUGAAAUUCCCUUGUGUUUGAAGGUAUUUUGAUGCCUUGAAAUUAGUACAACUUGGAUUGAUUUACAAUAUGUUACACAGAAAACAUUGAAAUAUGCAUUUGUAUAUUGUUUUAUACCCAAAAGUAACCUGUCUAUUAUAUGUUUUCAUUAAAUGUAUAAACAAAUCAAUAAAAUCCAAAGAUGUUG